ensembl:rRNA 5S_rRNA 5S ribosomal RNA
GUUGAUGACCAUGUCUCCCUGAAUGCUCCCCAUCUCAUCUUAUCUUGGAAGCUAAGCAGGGUCAGGCCUGGUUAGUACUUGAAUGGGAGUAAUGAGUUCUUCCAGUUGCUACAAAACAAGAAUUAGCAUUA